GACGAACGCUGGCGGCGGGCCUAAUACAUGCAAGUCGAACGCAGUGGGGACGGGUGAGUAACCCGUGGGUAACCUCCCAUCAGAGGGGAUAACACUUGGAAACAGGUGCUAAACCGAUAUUGAUGGCUGGACCCGGGGUGCAUUAGCUAGUUGGGGAGGUAACGGCUCACCAAGGCCACGAUGCAUAGCUGACCGGAGAGGGUGAUCGGCCACACUGGGACUGAGACACGGCCCAGACUCCUACGGGAGGCAGCAGUAGGGAAUCUUUGGCAAUGGACGAAAGUCUGACCGAGCCACGCCGCGUGAGUGAAGAAGGUUUUCGGGUUGUAAAACUCUGUUGUUAGAGAAGCGGUAUCUAACCAGAAAGCAACGGCUAACUACGUGCCAGCCGCCGCGGUAAUAC
rnacentral:rRNA from 1 species